AUCCUUAUUUUUAUUUAAAAUUACAAAACUACCCUUAAACCUAAUUUUACCUAAACCCUAAUUUUAACAUAACAAAUCCUAACCCUAAAUUCCCAAUUAGGAACCCUAACCCCCUCCUGAACACCACACAGCCUCACCCUCCCUCAAUGUAACAAACACAUACACGCACACUGAAGAAACGAGAACCAGAGAGAAAGAGAUCAGAGAAGAGAAGAGGAAAUCCGAGAGAGAAGAAGCGCGCCGGUGGAGGGAGGAGCUCGAGCCAUCUUCGCGAACCGUCGCUGCCUCGAGCUGUCAUCCUCGCCGUGAAUCCCGUCGCUCUUGUUGCAGCUGCCCGCGCCGUCGUCCUUGCCACGAAGCCAGCACCGCCGUUGCCAUCAUUGAACGAGAAGAGGAAGAGGCUCGCAGUGGAAGAAUCGAGAGAGAACCUGACGCGAAGAGUGGACGGUGCAUGAGAGGGAGACAGAGGUCGCGAUGGAGCUGUCCCGCCGCCUAAGCCGUGCCCUACUACCGUCGCCGAGCUUCCAUAGCCGCCGCGUUUCACGGCAGUUGAGGGUCUCUCCACCACUGAACCUCGGUCGAUGCUAUUGCCACUGCACACGAGAGGAAGAGGAGCGAUGAGACAGAACUCGACUGAGGGAGAGAAAGGGGGUCGUCGUCACCAGAAUCCUUUGGCGCCACCGUCGUUCUUGUUGGUCAUCAGAGAAAGCAAGUUGUUGCCACCAUUCAGGUCCGCUGCAGUUUCUGUCAGAAGCCACCAUUGGAAUUGUGAACAGAGGUGAGGAAAGAAGCAUCUUCUGCCACUGCCACGGUUGCUGGUGAGUGGUGCAUUGCCCUCAGAGUCGGAGACAGCAUCAGUCUUCUUAUUCUGGUUCUGAUUCUCUUAUUCUUGGAACUUUGCUGCUAGUUUACCGUUCAAAAAGGGCAUAAUUGAUGCUGAGGUCGUUGUCGUUCUUGCUCUGAGAGAACUGGUGUUACCAUUGCUACUGCUGGUUCUGAAUCUUAUUACAUUGAUUCUGAGUUGUUUGAUUUUGAUUCAUAUCCAAUUCAAAUCCUUGUCUUGUUGCAACCAGUCACUGCCAUAAGAGAUUGACAAUGUUGUUGUUUCGGUUGCAUGCUUGCUGCUGCCAUAAAAUUAAAAGAGGGGAAGAACGCAAGAUGCCCCUUUGCUUCACCUGUUUGUCUACUGCAAUCAUCUGGAAUAUUGGCGUUGGUGCUAUUACGGAUCUGUUAGAGUUGCUGUCGGUGAGUCCGAUGCUACUUCUUUAUUUUUGGAGUGAUCUUUUCCUUGAUUACGGUCUAUUCACACAUUUUUAUUGUUACUGUUAUGCUUGUUCUGAGUCGAUUAUGGUAUAUACCUUGUUUUGAAAUCCCCAGCGCAGUAAUUGCUUUUAAUUCCUAUCCGAUCUGGAUCUUCUGUUUUGCUGCAACUAUGGUUACCACUAGUUGCUAUCCUGAUUGUGUUAAAAUGCAAGGCUGCUACUAUGGUUGAACUUGUUGAGUGGUUAGUAGUUGUCUAGCCAGCUGUCUCGCCGUAAUUUCGCCUCCGGUUUCUUUUAAUUGCGACAUUGAGUGACACAGGUUCGAUGACUCAGUUCGAAGUUGCGGGCGAUUAUUGACUUUACUUAUGGGUUAAAUUACUUUCAUAGAGUUCCCUCGCUUGUUGUUUAAAAUUUGUAUUUUAUACAGAGGGAUAGGUGUUGAAUCUAAGCUUUGUUUUGAUUUACUUGUAUAAGACUUAUUAUUAUUAUUAAUUAUGUGAUUAUUAUUACUUGGUGAUGUGUGAUGUAUGAUUUAAUGAGUUGUAAACAAGUUUUUCUCACUUUUUAUCAAAGAUCAAACCGCAGCAUCGCAAUACUAAAUAGUAAAUAAGAAAAAUAGGUUAGUAACAUCUUACUUUUGGUACGAUCAUGACGUAUUGGAAGUUGGGUCGUUAUAGGGCAGGCGGUACUCGUUGAGGCAUGCUGGAAGCUUCUGAUGUUGCGAAGAUCUUUACCUUUUGGGUUUAUUUUGGUUACUUGUAUAUGCUUAGAUAUUCAUUAUCUCCACCUAUUAAAUAUGCUGUAUUAAUUCCUCUUAAAGGUGACUUUGGAGACUCAGGUUUUUGUAACUCUGUAUUUUGGGUUUUCUUUUGGGUUUUCCUAUAUAUAUCUAUAUAUGUAUAACUAUGUGUUCGGAUCGGUUUGUCUUUGCGAGCCGAGUCUUGAGUUUUGUUACAUGUAUUUUGGAACUCUUAGUAUAUAAAUUCGUUAGCUUGCUCUAUCUUGCUUAUGUUACCGUACACGGAGUGUUACGCUUUUCAAUUUAACAAUUUUUGCUUUAUCCUUUUCUUCAAUGGCUCCUAGUUAUAAACCUUCUUCAUUAUACUAUAUAUUAAACUUUUCUUUUAGAGGUCGUAGUGCCUCACCACCUCUGCUUUACAUCCUAGGUGUAAAGCUUUGUAUGGUAGGUGAUGACCGGAAUUCACUACCCACAUAUAAUGAAUCCGUUCUUUGGCAAGCGCACCAAAUUGUCGUCAAGUAAU